rnacentral:rRNA from 1 species
UACAGAGGGUGCAAGCGUUGUUCGGAAUCAUUGGGCGUAAAGAGCGUGUAGGCGGCUAUUUAAGUCCUGCGUGAAAUCCUGCGGCUCAACCGCAGACGGUCGUGGGAAACUGGAUGGCUAGAGUGCGGGAGAGGAGAGUGGAAUUCCCGGUGUAGCGGUGAAAUGCGCAGAUAUCGGGAAGAACACCCGUGGCGAAGGCGGCUCUCUGGAACGCAACUGACGCUGAGACGCGAAAGCGUGGGGAGCAAACAGG